UACGUAGGGACCGAGCGUUGUCCGGAAUCAUUGGGCGUAAAGAGCGUGUAGGCGGCCCCUUAAGUCCUGCGUGAAAUCCUGCGGCUCAACCGCAGACGGUCGUGGGAAACUGGAGGGCUAGAGUGCGGGGAGAGGAGAGUGGAAUUCCCGGUGUAGCGGUGAAAUGCGCAGAGUAUCGGGAAGAACACCCGUGGCGAAGGCGGCUCUCUGGACGCAACUGACGCUGAGACGCGAAAGCGUGGG
rnacentral:rRNA from 1 species